rnacentral:lncRNA from 10 species
AGUCUUUAACUGAAGGGCACUGACUGGGUCACUGGUGAAGUUCCCCGCAGGAACUGAGUCAGACCCCAUCUCAGGGCCCUGCACAAGAUAGGUGCCUGCUCUAAGGCGUGGACCCUCGCCACAGCCCUGGCCCGUCUUGACGGGCGAGGGUUACUGUACUUGUCCCAACCGUACAGAUGAGAAAGCUGAGACUCAGGGCCAGCAACCCGGGUCCCAGCGGAGCGCCCGGCACACGCCGACACUUCAGCACCAGUGGCGGUGGCCACCACUGUGGGCGGAGAUGGCUGCGACGCGUGCGCAGGUAAAGUCUAUGCGCGCCUUGCCUCCCACCGGCGCCUUCCCCGGCCUCUGGUUUUUGUCCCCGCCAGCGGCUCCGACUCCAUCGCGUCCUCUUCCAGUCUAGUGCUUUUUUCCAGAUCUCGAUCCCAAACUCCCUCCUGCCAGAAUCUGGACCCGAAUCCACCCAUUGCCCGUUUUCCGCUGCCGCUGGAGAGAAUCUCUGAGGUCCCCAGGAGAGCCUGCCUGCACGGAAGAGACGCCUCCUCGGUAUGGCCGCCCCCGGAGAGGAGCGAUUAAGUGCAGACCUCCUUGUUGCUCUUGAGCCUGAGCGGCUUCAGGGAGCCAUGUUUGUUACUGGCGGGCGCCGACCUCACUGAGCAUGUGCAGCCCUGGCCGGGCGGCCUCAAAGUUCUGACAUCACAGGGCGGUUCCUGAAGUGGACGUAGUUGUAAGAGCUAGUUAUUUUAGACAAUGCCUCUGGGAUCAGGGACUCUAAUCUGGAAAUAGGUAGUCGGAGAGGUCGGUGAUGCAGUCUCUGGAUCAGAGACCUGAGCUAUAUGGGGUUAGAGAGGGGCCCUGGGCAGGCGAGUCUCUGGGGAGUGUGGUGAGAAUCCUUGUGUAAGAUGCUGGGAGGAGGUGGGGUCAGGGCUGGGGUCCGUGGGCCGACGGGUUGGGGGAUGGCCAGCGUCAGGGAUCAGUAGUAGAGAUUCUAUGUGCCCUGAUCGCCAGUGGAGGUUUUAAAUACAGAGUAUUCAUGAGUUUAGCAAUGUUUUUCGCCUCUCAUUAUUUAAAUAAUUUGAAGUUUUCCCCAAUAACUAGUGUCUUAGAAGUCAUGAAAAUUUCAGAAAAUGACAGGUCUUCUGAGUUCGUGAUGGGAGUUGGGCAGCAGUCGCAUACGAGCACCUGGAGAGUCCUUGCCAGUUCUUUGGGGAUGGGGAGCUCUUAAGACUGCCCUGAGACCGCCCUUUGACCUCAUUGUGGUCCUUUCUAGAUUAAAUGCUGUUUUCCAUGACCGUCUCUGUUCUUCCCAUACGGGAAUGGCAGGCAUUCAGAUCUCCAAGAAUAGAGGAUUAGGAGAGACUCCACCACCUAUGUCCUCACAGUUAAUUAUCGAUUUGUGUCAGUUGCCCAUUUUCUCACUUCCUGUUUGUGUGUCAAGGGGUAUUAAUAAAUCUUUGCCUAUUUAAA